GCAAAAAGCCAGCAAAAACCAAUGGCCGCCCACGCGCGCAGAGUCACAUAAACAAAGCGAGGGGACCCACCACACAGCAUUCUUUUUAUUUUUCCUUAAUAACAGAUCGAAUCAAAUCAGAAGAAUAGAUUGUGAAGAAGAGAGAAAAUGACUCGAGGAAAGCAGAAGAUCGAAGCCCAGAGGAAAAACGCAGAAAGGAAUCAGAAAUCUAAGGGAUCUCAGUUUGAAGCCCGAGCUGUUGCUCUCAAAGUUACCUGCCCCAUCUGUAAGGUUCAGCUGGCGAAUAGUAAUCAACUAGGUGAUCAUUAUGCCUCCAAACAUCCAAAAGAGAAGCCUCCUGCUGAAUCGAGCUGAUAUAUCUUGGUCACUUGUGUAAAAAAACGAAGUUGUUCAAAACUGUCAAACAUUAUGUCAAUGAAUGUGUGUGACUAUUGUCAUCUGAACUCUAGGAAUUGAUGAUGUUUGUUUGUUGUUUUUUCAUGUGCCGAGCGUUAGGUUUGUAUGGCUUUGGUGUUGAUUUUCUCGUCAUUGAUGUCUGUAACGACCAUCAAGAACUGUUUCUUUCAGAAUCAGCAAGUAUGGCUACAUGAUUGAAGGACGGAAAUUUUUGAAACAUGGAGGUGUAGUUUGAAAGUGGGGAAUGGAAGUACAUCGUUAUGGUGGGGAUAAUAGGCACCAAUUAAGUCCUUUGUGGGAGAAUUGUAAUGGAAUCUGGGCUAUCGGAUACCGCAAUGGUUCUGUCGUUAAUAUGAGAAUAUAAUGACUUGUGCUAUACAA